CCGGGCGCCGCCGGGCCACGCGUCCAUCAUCCGCCUCCCCGCGCGCUCAUUGGGCAGCGCACCGCGCGGCGCCGCCUCCGCCUGGAGGGCUGGCCUGUCAUUGGGCGGGAGGAAGGAGAGGCCCGCCUCCCUCCGCCAUUUAUUUGAAGGGGGUCGGGGGCAGCCCUAAGAUGGCGCCCCCGGCGGCACAGCGCGGGGCCGGGCCCUGAGGGCCCCGCGGCCCGGGGACGUCCCGGCCGCUGCUGGGCCCUGGCGAUGCCGGGCCGGACCGCCCCCUUCACCGAGCCCGGCCCCUGCCGCGGUGCCCGGUGUCCCGGCGGUGCUCGGGCCCGGCCCUUCUCGUUGCUGCCCCGUAGGCUGUGAGCUCAUCUCCCGGCCUGCCCCGUGGCCAUUUUGGUGUAGGUCGGCGCCUUGCUCUGGUGUCGGCUCUUCGGGAGCUGGAGGCUGAGGCUGGCGCUUGCACGUCUAAAGGCCCGCGGUGGAGAUGGGAGCCUAGAGAUGAUGCUUAAACCUCUGUAAACUGUGGCAGCAGCCCAGCGCACGUGGCCCAGUAGUAAUGCACUGGGUAAACAAAAACAGCCACAACAAAAGCGCCCACUAUCAGAGUAGGCUGCCUGACUUAAUCACUUACGGGGUCUUUGGCAAGCUGUCCUGUGGGUUUGAGAAAUGGUAGUUCAGGAUUAACCCAGAAAAUGUACAGGCAGCUUUCUCUGAGGCACUCCUGGUAGGCUCUUGGAAUUGAAUAGUGGCUUCGCUCCUUCACAGCACUGACAGGCUUUGUUUUCAUUGUAUUUUUGUAGUCUCUUUGAGUAGAUAGUUGAAUGAGCAACAAAACUGAUGUUUUACUUGCUUUGCUGAUAACAUUCUCUGAUAAAUGAUACCCUGUAACCAGGACGCACCCAGUCAAGUACAGUGCAUUUAGUCACUCUUCCUCACCCUCCUACCCCUUCAGCCUUCCCUGCCGCUGUAGUGAGCUUCCCAAGUAACGAGUUUGUGCUGCUCCUUGCUGAGACAGGGGUGAGAUUGUCUUUUGCAGCUGCCACCCUUGUAGGAGAAAUUUGACUCAUUUUCUGAUGAAUACAGAAGCUGCAGCCCCUGUUAAGGCCUGCCGCUUUGCCAGAUGCAAGCUGAUUCAUGGGUGGCUGUUGUUCAUUAUACCCAUAAUUGGAAAGUGACAUUGUUUUUGGCUUAGAAACCAGAACAAUUCCACAGCGUAUCCAGUCAAACACCCGACAGUUGUUGAAGUGGCAUUUUUUCUUCAGAAGGUGAAUCAUUUUAUCACUUUUUGAUAAACUGAUGUCUUGUAUUUUAACAAGAAAUGCCAGUCUAUCUGUUUUACUGGAAUGCACAUAGUUUUGGACUAGUGGGUGACUUUCAAUUGUAGUAGUUAUUUUGAAGCUGAUUAAGGGACAUUGAAACUAUGUGUCUUGCAGCGUAAUAUCCUAGGGAGAAUUUUUGAUUUUGCAAAGUAGUGCCAAAUAGUUCUGCUCACCUUACUCUCUAUUUCUUUAGGACAGAUAGUAAUUGGAGAGUUUGAAGUCUUUUCCCCAGCUAAAAGUGGACCACAGUGUACAAAAUAUUGACAGCAAACGGAUUCUUCUAGUGACAUUUUGAUGGUCACCGUAACUCGCUGCAAGUUAGGAGUGAGCUGACUGGUGGACUUGAAGCAAGAGAAGAAGACCAAAGACCAAGAGUCCUACUGUUAUGGAGAUGGGCAACGCUGUACCAGCAGAGGGGUUUCUCGGGUAUGGCAUGGCUGGGGUUUAUGGAUUCUACACUUCUGACAAGACUUUGUGGUGAUUCUACCAAAGUACGUGUUUGGCUCUGAAUUUGAUGUAUCACCAUCUAACAGAUCAACUGCUUUUAAUACGUGAGAAUUCAAGUAAAAAUAUCUGGUGCUGAAGUGAAUAAUUAAUGAGGAAUGGCAGCAGGAGUGAACUUACUUCCAGCCUCCAUGAAAGCUUCAGGAAGGAAAAGUUGCAUCCAGCUCCUCGGGGCUCAGAGAUGAUAUCGCCACCAUAACGCGCUGAGUUGAUGAUGAGAGUACCUCCACCACCGAGCUCCGGCGCCUCUGGAUUAUGCGGAGAAGGGGAUCGGAGGAAGAAUGCCUCCGGCCCUGGAAAAAGUUGCUAAAAAUACUCGCAGCUGAACGCCUCCGGGGUGAGCCCUGCAUGACUGACCAGCCCCAGUCACAGUGUAGCAGGGUGCUGAGGACGCGCUGAUCGAACACCCCAGUUGUUCCGUGCCGAAGUUGUAGGGAUGUGCAGCAUCCUCCUGCCCGCUCCGGCACAGAAGGCAGGGGCUGAGCUGUCACCAUAGUAACUCGCAGCCAGCCCCGAGGCAGUGAGAUGCUGUAGGGGCUGGUCCUGGUUGGGACAAGCUGUUCCGCUGCCGAUGAAAAUAGUUGCAUUUCAAGUAGAUAAUUUUGGAAAUGGACCAGGAACAACCAAAACAUUUUCCAUAAACAAUGUGAGUAUUUUAGUUGGUCGUAAAUAACAUACAUUCAGAAUCCGCUAAGACACAAAAUAGUAUAUUCAAAAGAACAAUCAGAAUGCAGUUGGGGGCUCUGCUUCCUGAGAAAUCUGUAAGUACAUUAUACUCCUCCACCUCUUGGGUUAACAUUCCACAACCACCUCUCUCCCUCCACUUAGUUGCUCCAAAAUGCAUCAUUAGCUCUGUAAUGAUUGGGAUUAGUGUGUUCCUACUGAAAUGGCUCAGUACAUGAUGAAUUGUAGACUGUUUGCUCGGGACCAUUCAUAUCUUCAACAAAACACAAUUUGUCAUUCAAAACAAAAGGCUUAUUUUUUUCAGGGCACAGCUAUUUUAUUAACCAAAGCUGUUAGCCCUACAGACUGAGAUAAAGCAGAUUAUGGGGAGGAGAAGAUGCAUUGGUUGAGUGCUUUAGGCUUAUGAAGGUACUGAACAGGAACGGAGUGACUGAAUUUUGAAUACUGCUCCCCAGCUCUUAAGACAUGGUAAGGUUUUCUGUAGAUACCAGGCAUUAAUCGUCGGUAGUGAUGUGAUAUGAGAAAAGGAAAACGUUAAAGCUGACCGUUAGCUGUCAUCUCAAAGAUCUGACUAUCCUAAUAAAGCUGAUAUUAGGAGAUGAGAAAAUAUUUGAAUGUGUUUUUAUAUUGGGUGUUAGGUUGAAGAAGGAAGGAGAUGAAAGAGGCUACUUCAAGUGCUACCUAUAUCCAGCAAACGCAAAAAAAAAUGCUUUCCAGUUAAUUAUAUGGCUUUCUUAUAUUUAAUUCUUAUUCUUUCUCUUCCCAGAAUCUUUUUUUCAGGAUAUAUUAAAUGAUGGAGUCAGAAAUGAGCAAGAUAAAAUGCUGCACACCAUAUUUUUCCAUUGAAUCUACCAUGAUUUGCAAGUACUCACCCAAAGUAACCAUACAACUGUAAGUCUUUAACUGGAACCUUCCAAGGGGCAAUUCCAGCAAAUCUAAUGAUACCAGAAUGGCAGCACUAUUUCUAAAUCAUACCAUUCAUACUUUUAGUUGAUACUUGCCCAACAGACUAUCCACAAGACUUCAGGCCUUUACAGAAGAGGGAAGAGAUGCAGACGACAUACCUACAAUAUAUAAAAUACUAGCAAGAUUGCUCAGAAUGGCAGAGGUAAACAACGUGUUAUUUUUUUAACAAAUUAGGCCUCCCUGAAAUUUUUUUAGAAGAUAGACCAAAUCUGUAUUUCCUGUUCUGUAUGACCAGGCAAUUCCAAUUAUCUGUUUUGUUGUAUAUUUUUCUGAAACAAACAAACAAAAAGUUAAGUAAGAUUGUGAUAAGAGUUUACAGAGAAAUGAUGCACUCCCUUGAACAAAGGUAAAAAGUUUUAUUUUGGGACAGGAAGUACUAUUUCAGUGUUGUUACUACAGAGAGGGGUUUUACUGUCCUGCAGAUAAAAACAGUGUUAAAAGCUAAAAUAGUGGCUGGGUAAAAGAAACAACUCUCCUGUUUUUUCUCUAUAUAAUAUAUUUUUUAGUUUUAAAAAGGUCCCCUUCAACAUUUUGUUCAUCACGUUAACACUUGAUAGACGCUAGAGAAAAAACAAGUCUCAAAUGUUAUUCCAGGUCACGUUCCUUAUUAGCUCCCCGAGGGAACUGAGUCACGUGCCUUGUGGCAAUCAUGACACCACCUUAAUCAGAUCCCCUCUGUUAUCUGGGUGACAUGCAUUUCUAUUGCCAUGACAGCAAAGAGGCUGGCCUUUUAAUCCUGCUAUCACAAUUUAAGAAAUGGAAUGGUGUCUUAGGUGAUGUUCCAUCUCUUUAUAUUUUAUCAUGGGAAGCAAUGUCAUUGAGCUUGCAUAAACACCACAGGUAAUGCAACCAAAAUGUAGUAAAAAUAACACUGAUGAUGGCUGACUGAAGUAAACAGCAGAACCCCAUUGCCCAGGAAAACAAGCGUAUAUUGAAAUCAGAUAUCAAGCCCUAAGGGGAUAUUUCAGCAGGUCCCUCUGAGGUGUGGAUUUUGUACUUGUUUUGGUGUCUCUUUACCUCAUUUCUUUUUUCCCUGUUUUUGAGCAGACCAAUCCCUAACAGAAGGGAUGUAUCAGCUUUUGUUGCCUGUUGGUAGCACUGCUGAUUCACCUGUUGCAUUUGGUAACAAAUGACAGCUGUCAAAUAUGCAUCAUCUACGCAGAGGUGAAUUUCUUGCAGAGGAAAUAGUACAGGCACACUGUGCUGCCUUUGGUGAGGUCAGUCUGUGCUCCCACUUUCUUUUUAAGGAGUGAUGCAGCCUCUGGUCCACGUCCAUUUCCUCUGGAAUGAAAGAGCUUCUCUUUGUGAAGAUACAGGUUAAGUAGCAAAAUGCCAUGCAGCAAGUAGGAAAAGGGAGAGAUCAGGGAUCUGCAACCAACUGGUGGGCAGACUUGGCCAGGAGGAGCAUACAGGAGGCAUGCCUUCCUGGUUCACAAGAGCACGCAAAAAGGAAGAUUCUUUUGUAGAAUUUUAGGACCUGGAAAUGAGUGGUUUCCAGUCACUGGGCUGAAUUUUUGCUCCAAAAUGAAAUGACAGAAAGGAACAAUGUCUGAUGUUUUAGCAGUCAGAAAACAAGCCCAGAAGUGCAAAGACAAGGACUGGUCCCAGUUUACCUUAGCAAUUAAUAUGGUUAUUUAAUAAAUGCAAUUACUAUCUUUAGAACACGUUUUCAAAACAGAAGAGCUUGCAGUCGAGACUGGAAUGAUUACAGUUGUGCCAGUUCAGCUGCCAGCGCAAACAGGAAUCCUCUCCACAUUUCUGUGGAGCUGUUUACUAAUAGUGGAGUCCCAUUUCUUCAGAUUUGUAUGGAUUUGGUAACUAGAAUAUGACAGCAGACCACAUAUUCCAAAAGAUUAGUUUUUAUGUUAACAUGAGAAACCUUGGAUAAGCUUUCAAGUUUUUAAUGUCGGUGUAUAAGAAAAGCUAUUUUAAACCUCAAAUAUAUUCAUGCAAUAGAGGCAAAUGCUGAUGCUUAUUCUUGUCAUAUAAAAUGCAGGGAUUGUUUUUUUACUAUUUUCUUGCCUUUUAAAAUGAAUUGUUCUCUCCCCUGUUGCAUUCACAUAUAAGUAACUAACCAGUGGCCAAUUUUUAAAGCAACAUAGUCAACUGCAGAUGGAGGUAGGGGCCAUAUUCGCUUAGCACCUAUGCCCACCAUUAAAAUUAAACAUCAUUAAAAUUCACUCCGUGGCCUGAUUCUCUAACUACUUAUCUUCUUCAGUAGCUCUGCUUUUGUGAGCAGUCCCAUAGAAGUCAACAGGGUAUUUGUAUAAAUGGAAGAUUACGUGGGAUAAAGUUUCAUUGCCAAAAUGCAAAGUUCUGAAAACUGCACUAAUUAAUUUAUGUAACUGAAGAUAACUCAGGUAAUUAAGCAAAAAUAUGAUCAUGUACUGAGGACUGUUUUAUAGUUAAUAAAGUGGUUAAGAGCUAAUAAAUUAUAACUUGGUCAUUAAAUUCAGGUUUUACACCUGAUAAUAUAGGCAGAUCAUUAACAUUUUUGAUAGAAAAAGCUAAGUACACUGAGGGGUAGUUAGUGACUUCUACAGGAAGCACUGGUAAAUGAAAUCAUAUUUAAAAGUACAACACUAUCUAAUUUGAACAUUACAAGAAAUAACAAAACAUUUAUUUCUAAAGUUUUAGAAAAAUAGUAGAUAACUUUUCUCCUUAAACUUGAUCAUUAUGAUUAAGUUUCUUGUUCUAAUGCGUAUUGCAGUAAAAAAAAAUCACUGAUAAGACAUAUCACAAAUACUUAAGCUACAAGUAAAAGGCUUGAAGGCAGUUAGCCUUGAGCACACAUAUUUCAAUAGGCACACACCUCACUUCCCUAGGCUUGCUUGAAAUUUGAAAUGUUUACUUCCUAUGAGCAAACGUGAGAAAAUCAGAAAAGGAAAAUAAACACAGAGAUAUAUGACAAAGGGAAGAUAAGGUAAUAACUUGAACACAUGUUCAGCUAUAUGGAAUUUAUACAGCAGAACAAUACUACAGCUGUUGUCAAACUGUGGUGAUUUCACUGGGAACGCAACAAAAACUAAUUUUUUUAUUUCUAAGAGUUGGGUUGUUGCUUUUUUUUUUCCUUUAGGGAAAAAAAUUCAUCACCUGUUUUAAUUAAAGGUGAAUGUCAUUUAAUCAUUAAGCAUGAUAUUUACAAAGGACUAUAGCUCCUUUCACGUACAAAAGAGACAAAAGAAUACAAUUCAUUAGAAAAUUAUGUAGGUGUUGCUCUGGUGAUUCAGUAUUUGCUAUUAAUAGGGUUUUUUUUGACAUAAAUAGCAAGAAACUGCAACCUAAGAUGAUGGACAGGUCUACCAAUUGACUUGAUUCAUCUCAUUAAGUCACGUCAGCUUUCUGUGAUAGUGUUAACGCAGUAGUUAAGAGAAGUUAUUUUAAACUACCUUGAACAGGUUGGCAACCAGUAAUUACUGUUGAGAAUUAUAAAGGAUAUGGUGUAAAAAUGAAUAAAUUAACUGUUCUACAAAGAAAAAUGAGUGACUCAGAUAUUAUGGAUCAUGAAUAUCAUGUUUACUAAGACUAGUAGAUUUGUAAGACUACAUACAGAAGAAUGAAAUAUUGUCAGCACUGCUGAAUGCUACUGAAAGCAUUCAUAAAUGGAAAAGUUUUAAAACUGAACUCUACGACUUAAAAGAAAUUAUUUUUAUACUGCAGAUAGUCAAAACCAGCAAAUUUACGUGAAUUUUAAUAUAGAAUUUCAGUAAUUUCAGUUUAACAUCUUACCUGUUACCCUGCAAAAAGAGUGAGUGAGUGUUGAUCCCUUCAUUGCUGCAGUAUCAACUUCAAGAAAUAUAUUGUAGGGAAUUCGCAUUUACAAAAGAGAUGCUGAAUGGUAUUGCCACAGUAUUUCCUGUAGUUAAUUGGAUUCGUGAUGGUAAUCUGGGAGGAGCCAGUAACUAUCUUUUCUUAACUUAAGACUGUAUGAGGAAUGCCUUACAGACGAUGCAGAUAAUCGUCCCAUAAACUGCUUUCUGUGUCUGCCUAGAUUUUAAAGGGAUUGAGGCAAACAGGCCACACCAACCUGUUUUAAUAACUGAAUCCUCCGUAUCGUUCUGCUUCAUCCAUUAAGUUCACCUCAUUUUCCUGUUAUCAACCACAAGUAAAUGUGUGUCUACAUGUGCCAGACCACUAAGCAUAGAGUUACAAAAAUCAUUUGGGGAAUGUACCUUAAUUGCAGUUAAACUGAUACAGUAAUUUUAUAACAACAUGGAAAGAAACUAAGUCUCUUGUUCGUAUCUGUGGUUGUACCAUGAACAAAACUUUCUAUUUUUCAAAUACUAUCAUUAAAGUAUGUAAAUUGAGGGUAAAUUAACUGUAUUAAAAUGAACACCUCAAAAGCAGAAGAAAAAUAAGUUCUGAAUGUAGAGGAUGUGAUCUACCAAAAAAAAAACACACAAGGACUUUGUUGAUUUAACUAAGGUGAGCUAAAAUAAAGUAAGAAAACAAGAUAAAUAAAAUAGGAUAUGAUAUUCUAUUUUACUAAACCAAUUUCAGCUACUAAAUAUUAUCUGACAAGAAGAAAGGCUUUUGUCUAUUUGUACAGCUUACCUACACUUUUUUUUUUAAAAAAAAAGCUAGUUUUAAUUAAGUGCUUACUCACUAUUUGUCAUUAAAAAUAUCUCUCAAUUACUUAUAGAAAAAGAAAGUACUAGUGCAAGCUUCUGUGAAUGGGAUGUGUGUAUUAUUUAAACAAGCAAGGACAGCAAGCUACAGGAGACAACUCGAGACUAAUGCCAACGUACUUGUGCUCUGAACUGAACACCUGCCUUACUUUGGCCAAUAGAGAUGGGGCAUAUGACAGGACUAUAUUGUUUCAUUAAUUUUCCAAAAUAAUUUUGUAGCGAAAUUUCACCAUUUUUGCUGUAAUAAUUGCAGCAAAAAUCAGAAUGAAAGAAUCCAACUACUUUUCCAUAGAAAAAUUAAUGUACUGAGAACAGAGAGAAAUGAAUUUAAAAGUCCUUAAGAUUACACAUCUAGUUUCUUACUAAUGUUGCAGGGAUGAAAAAAAAUCAUGGGCAUUAAAUAAACUGCAGCCUAUAAUUUUAUUAAACAGAAAACAUCGUAUAUGUGCACAUAUAAGGACGUUUGUGGAAAAAAAAAAUCUUAACUAAAAAUGGGGCUUCAGAAGAUUUGUAUACAAUUUUGGAAACCACUGGGGUACUUUAGAAAAUAUGGUUGACUAUUAUUCUCUGAUCACUUAUCUUCAGUUAGAUUUUUUGAGUUUACAUUUACUGUUUGCUACAUGACACUGUAAAUAUAUUUAUUUUACAAAACUAAUGUUUUGUAAACACUAGAAAUAUUUACGUAUGUUUGAAUGUAAAUGUGACUGUAAAAUGAGACAAAAGCUACAUAAAAGCAUCUUCCUGGGGAAAACAGGCUUUUUUCAAGGCUCAAGUAUGUCAUUAAGAAAUUCUACUUGCAGUUUUAUGUUUUAAUUACAAAGGCAGAAACUAAAUAUGCUGUUUUCUUCCCUGAGGAAUUUUACCUCAUGAAGAAACCAGGUUAGAAACCUGGGAGCUGUACUUGAAAUACUGCAAAACUGAGUUUCACCACUUCAACAACAGCCAAUACAAAGAACGUUUUCUUCCAC